rnacentral:rRNA from 1 species
ACGAACGCUGGCGGCGUGCCUAAUACAUGCAAGUAGAACGCUGAAGGAGGAGCUUGCUCUUCUGGAUGAGUUGCGAACGGGUGAGUAACGCGUAGGUAACCUGCCUGGUAGCGGGGGAUAACUAUUGGAAACGAUAGCUAAUACCGCAUAACAGUAGAUGUUGCAUGACAUUUACUUAAAAGGUGCAAUUGCAUCACUACCAGAUGGACCUGCGUUGUAUUAGCUAGUUGGUGGGGUAACGGCUCACCAAGGCGACGAUACAUAGCCGACCUGAGAGGGUGAUCGGCCACACUGGGACUGAGACACGGCCCAGACUCCUACGGGAGGCAGCAGUAGGGAAUCUUCGGCAAUGGACGGAAGUCCGACCGAGCAACGCCGCGUGAGUGAAGAAGGUUUUCGGAUCGUAAAGCUCUGUUGUAAGAGAAGAACGAGUGUGAGAGUGGAAAGUUCACACUGUGACGGUAUCUUACCAGAAAGGGACGGCUAACUACGUG